AGAGGUGGCCCUGACUAUAGGCGAGUUUUCUCACACUCAGUCGCUGGACUCACUGUCAGUCUGCCAUGGCAUUGCUUGACAUGUUUUCUUCUCCAAUUCCAUUAUCUUCAAAGAAUCGGGUCCUUUGAUAGAUCACAUGACAAUCCAAAGUCAGCAAUACUUUGAUGCUCGUACAAGCAGUCAAGCACUUAGCAAAAAUGGCGUGGAAAACCGAAAACUUGAAAUAAAUGGAGUUCUUAUACUUCCUCUAAGUGAAAACCUCUCACCAGGUUUUAUUGUUCCUCUACUAAUUUAAAAUUUAAUCUUGUAUUGAUUUUGUGUUUUGUAUUGCUUUAAUAUGUCUACUAGAAAGUAUUUGUCUGGACAUGAAAAAAGAAAAAAAAACUGAAGAAUUUAUUCGAUCUCAAGUAGGAGCUAUGGACAAGUUUUUUGGUAGUAAUAUUAAUAAUAAAAGAGAAAGUCCGAUGAAAGAUUUGGUUGUUGAGGAAUUUGAAAAUGAAAAGGUUCAAAGUGAAGAUAAUAUGACCAAAGAGCAGGAAAUUUUAGUGGAUCAUGAGCAAGAAAAUAUGGAGGAAUUUGAAAAAUGUGUACCGUUGCAUUACAACAUUAGUGAUCCAGGGAAUUGGAAAAAUGUUGAUCAAAACUUGAUAGAUUUGUUAGUGAAAAGAGGUCCACUUAGGGAGGAUAGUUUUACUUUUCCAAAAGAUUCAGAAAAUAGACAUUUCUCUUCUACAUAUUAUAUUCGACAUUUAGCAAAUGGUGAGAAGAGUG